rnacentral:rRNA from 1 species
UCGGCUUAGAGUUUGAUCAUGGCUCAGGACGAACGCUGGCGGCGUGCCUAAUACAUGCAAGUCGAACGAAUUGGUGCUUGCAUCAUUGAGUGGCGAACUGGUGAGUAACACGUGGGAAACCUGCCCAGAAGCGGGGGAUAACACCUGGAAACAGAUGCUAAUACCGCAUAACAACUUGACCGCAUGGUCCGAGUUGAAAGAUGUUCGUAUCACUUUUGGAUGGUCCCGCGGCGUAUUAGCUAGAUGGUGAGGUAACGGCUCACCAUGGCAAUGAUACGUAGCCGACCUGAGAGGGUAAUCGGCCACAUUGGGACUGAGACACGGCCCAAACUCCUACGGGAGGCAGCAGUAGGGAAUCUUCCACAAUGGACGAAAGUCUGAUGGAGCAACGCCGCGUGAGUGAAGAAGGGUUUCGGCUCGUAAAGCUCUGUUGUUAAAGAAGAACAUAUCUGAGGUAAUUCAGGUAUUGACGGUAUUUAACCAGAAAGCCACGGCUAACUACGUGCCAGCAGCCGCGGUAAUACGUAGUGGCAAGCGUUGUCCGGAUUUAUUGGGCGUAAAGCGGGCGCAGCGGUUUUUUAAGUCUGAUGUGAAAGCCUUCGGCUCACCGAGAAGUGCAUCGGAAACUGGGAAACUUGAGUGCAGAGAGGACAGU